AGUAAUGAGUACCAGCGCAAAGCCCUGACUUGCUGGUCGGCAACCCUCUCUCCGGCGGGGUGCCUCAGGUGACUACUCGGCGUAUCGACAACUCGAACUGCAAGCGUGACUG
rfam:Arthrobacter sp. YN chromosome, complete genome.